CAAAACCUUAACCUCUCGGGUCCCUUCCCGGAUCUCCUAUUCGGACUACCCGACCUCAAAUACGUCUACAUUGAACACAACAAGCUCUCGGGUCGAAUACCCAACACUAUCGGCAACUUAACCCAACUCGAAGCACUCAGCUUUUACUACAACCGGUUCACCGGUCCAAUUCCGAGUUCAAUCUCCAAGCUGACCCGGCUCACCCAGCUCAACCUUGGCGGCAACAUCUUAACCGGUUCGAUCCCAUCCGGCAUUCAAAACCUCAAGAACCUCACCCUCUUCAACCUCGAGCAAAACGGGUUGUCGGGUCCCAUCCCCGAUUUCUUCACAUCGUUUCCGGAGCUCCGAGUCCUCAGACUCUCCGGCAACUACUUUACCGGGAAAAUCCCAGCUUCAAUUUCCGCUUUGGCGCCAAAACUGGCCUACCUGGAGCUCGGCCACAACGCCCUGACCGGCCAAAUCCCUGAUUUUCUCGGCAAUUUCAAGGCCCUCGACACCCUCAACCUCUCUAGCAACAAAUUAUCCGGCGUCGUGCCUCAGAAGUUCGCGAAUCUGACCAAGAUCUUCAACCUCGAUCUUUCUCGUAAUUACCUCACCGACCCGUUUCCGGAACUGAACGUGAGAGGCAUCGAGUCCCUGGAUUUGUCGUACAACAGCUUCCAUCUGAAGCAAAUUCCAAAAUGGGUGACGUCGUCGCCGAUCAUCUACUCUCUGAAGCU
rnacentral:lncRNA from 1 species